rnacentral:rRNA from 1 species
AUUGAACGCUGGCGGCAGGCCUAACACAUGCAAGUCGAGCGAGCGGCGGACGGGUGAGUAAUGUAUGGGGAUCUGCCCGAUAGAGGGGGAUAACUACUGGAAACGGUGGCUAAUACCGCAUACUGUCGGAUGAACCCAUAUGGGAUUAGCUAGUAGGUAAGGUAAUGGCUUACCUAGGCGAAGAUCCCGAGCUGGUCUGCGAGGAUGAUCAGCCCAACUGGGACGGAGACACGGCCCGUACGCUUACGGGAGGCAGCAGUGGGGAAUAUUGCACAAUGGGCGAAAGCCUGAUGCAGCACUGCCGCGUGUAUGAAGAAGGCCUUCGGUUUUUAAAGUACUUUCAGCGGGGAGGCGUUACCCGCAGAAGAAGCACCGGCUAACUCCGUGCCAGCAGCCGCGGUAAUAC